GAACCCCUCGGCUCGUUGCUCGGGCUCGGGGUCGGCUGGUAGUUCACCACCGGUCGACAGCACAGAAGCGACCCCUGUGGCCUCGCAAGCCCCCAACUUGGCAGAGCUAGCGCAGGCGCCUCUUCGCUCCCGGACGCGCUGCAGGGCUGUCAGGAAGUCCAAGCCAUCCUGCUGGAGGGAGAGAUCAUGUGAAGAAAACAACACAGAGAGAGAGACACGAGCCACGUGGAGGAGCCCUGGGCCACUGGACAGGACCAGCUGGAUCCCACAAGCACGACUGGAUCCAGGUGACCAACUGUCCUGUUUUUCUGGGACUAAGGUGGGUUCCCAAGAGGUGAGAUUUUCACUUUUUUACAAUUGAGAAAGCCUCAGGCAAGCCAGGAAGCGGUGGUCAACCUAGCUGGAAGCCAUGAGGAUGGAUUGAAAGCUGUGUCUGUUCUUGCUGCCUCCAACCUUGAUGGUAUGGGUGUCCCAGAGAAGAAGCCGACACCCUGUUCUGCAGCUGGACAUGCAGACCUGGCCUCAAAGCUGAAGAUGCUGAAGGGGGCCCAGGGGACAGUGGAACACUUGCAGGCCCCACACCAAAGAGUCAGGCGUCCAGAUGAGAAUGGAGCCCAGUCAACACCUUGACUGCAGCCUUGUGAGAACAUGAGCAGAGGACCCAGCUCGGUCUUGCCUGGACUCCUGACCCAUGGAAAUAUGAGGUGAAAAAUAUAUGCUGUUUUUAAGCUAAGUUGAUGAUCAUUUGCUUUGCAGCACAGAAGACUAGCAGGAUAUUUAGUCCUAACACUCCACCCCAGGAUAUGCUAAUUAAA